rnacentral:tRNA from 1 species
ACCUGGCUGGCUCAGAUGGAAGAGCACGUGACUCUUGCUUUCAGAGUUGUGGGUUCAAGCCCCAUGUGGGGUG